UCAGUGGAUUGCAGCAUUUGGAGGUAUAAUUUGAUACAGCAACAAAGUUGUUAAACCUCUUAAAAACAUUACUCCUCUCUUCUGUCCCUCUUGCACCCUUUUUACUGUGGGCUAAAUUUGAAAACUGACUGGUUAUAUCAGAAUAUUGAAAAAAUAUAGCCCAGUUUUCUAAAUACUAAAACCAAAAAUACAUUCUGAACUUCAACAGCCCUUCAUCUUUGGAAAACAUGUAAAAAUAAAAAGUUAUUCAUAGUUACUGCAAGGUUUUGUGCUUAAUCUCUUUCAGGUUAUUUCACAAACAAAAGCAGCAGCAGCAGGCACCCUGGGUCACCCUCCUGUUGCAGGUUCUGGCCAGAUGCGCCUUUGACUCUCAGAAUCUUUUUGGAAGAGCACUGAGCACUCAUCUCAUCAGCAUAUGAACCUCGAAUCACAAAAAGAGACAGCAGUAAAAAUAUUUGAAAGCUUUCCUGCGUGGAUGACAGAUGGACAGCAGAUGCACACCAGAGGUAUGCAAAGUCAAGCCUUUAACAGUUGAGAAAUGCUAGAAGUUAUGUUCGUAUCUAUAACUGUUCUGCAGUCCUUCUUC